AUUGAACGCUGGCGGCAGGCCUAACACAUGCAAGUCGAGCGAGCGGCGGACGGGGGAGUAAUGUAUGGGGACUGCCCGAUAGAGGGGGGAAACAACAGGAAACGGUAGCUAAUACCGCAUACUAUCGGAUAAACCAUAUGGGUUUAGCUAGUAGGGGAGGGAAUGGCGCACAUAGGCGACGAACCCUAGCAGGUCUGAGAGGAUGAUCAGCCACCCUGGGACUGAGACCCGGCCCAGACUCCUACGGAGGCAGCGUUGGGGAAUUUUGGACAUGGGGGGAAACCCUGAUCCAGCCAUCCCGCGUGUAUGAUGAAGGCCUUCGGGUUGUAAAGUACUUUUGUCAGAGAAGCGGUAUCUGCAUAAUAAGCACCGGCUAACUACGUGCCAGCCGCCGCGGUAAUUC
rnacentral:rRNA from 1 species